GCGCCCUCUCUCCGAUCAGCCUCAGGGCGCGCGGGCUGAGAAGGCCCUGCCUCGGAGUCAGCGGGGCGAGAAGGCCCCGCCUCGGGAUGCGCAGGGCGGGAAGGAUCCGCCUCGGCCACCACUGCCGCCGAGGGAGUCGAGGUUGCCGAGACCUUCUGCUUCUUUCUCGGCUCCGCAGGCUCUUCCGAGAGCUCGGCUGCCCUCUUCUGGAAGCGGGCGUAAAGGACUUCGCUCUUGGUCACCAUUUUUGCGAUGUCUGCAAAGAUAAACAAAAUUAGAACAUUAGAACAAUAAGGAAAUAAAAAGUUGCUGUAACUAUCCUUACCCUGAGGACAUGCCGAGCUCAGGCCCACGUUCACCAGGGCGUCCUCGCUAAUGAGGCCGUUCAGCAAAAUCCCGUCCCCAAGGCUGCGGAUGGUGUCGAAGAUCUCCUGCUCACGCGGAGAAAGCUGGGGGAGCCUGUUGAUGGAUUUAAGCUGGGCCGGCCUCCACCUGGGGUCAAACCCCCAGGACCGUUCAGAGCCCAGGAAGAAGAAUUUCUCCUUCCAACCAUGAAUGGAUGAGGGGGCACCAUGAAAAAGUGGCCGACCCGCCCGGAGGGCGAUGUAGAGCCACUCCCCGUCUCCC
rnacentral:lncRNA from 1 species